GGAGAGCGUUCAUUGGCUUCUCUAUGGACUGGUCGUUGCAACGGCUAUGACGGGCUGGUUCUUUGCGUCGUUCCGGGGCUGGCACUUGUCGCCCCUAGUCGGAGUGCCGCUGCCGAUGCUGACUGCANNNNNNNNNGCCUGGUCGGCGGCUGGCAUCAAGCAGCAGGAUUUGGACUGCUCAUCGCCAUCGGCAUCCACGUUGCCGCAGCCUUCAUUCAUGCUUUCGUCUUCCGCGACCGGAUC
rnacentral:misc_RNA from 1 species